UAGAAGGACCUCUGGAAAAUCAAGCAUUCAAUGCUACCAAAUUUGAAUCGUUGGAUGUUGCCUUUGGAUUGAAGUGGACCACAGCAACGAAUAGUUAUCCUGACAGAGCACAAGGUGAUACGGUAUCUGUUGUGCAAGAGCUCCACAAGAA